CGGGAAUUUUGGGCAAUGGGCGAAAGCCUGACCCAGCAACGCCGCGUGAGGGAUGAAGUAUUUCGGUAUGUAAACCUCGAAAGAAUGGGAAGAAUAAAUGACGGUACCAUUUAUAAGCUCCGGCUAACUACGUGCCAGCAGCCGCGGUAAUACGUAGGGAGCAAGCGUUGUUCGGAUUUACUGGGCGUAAAGGGCGCGUAGGCGGCGCGGUAAGUCACUUGUGAAAUCUCUGAGCUUAACUCAGAACGGCCAAGUGAUACUGCGGUGCUAGAGUGCGGAAGAGGCAACCGGAAUUCUUGGUGUAGCGGUGAAAUGCGUAGAUAUCAAGAGGAACACCUGAGGCGGAGGCGGGUUGCUGGGCCGACACUGACGCUGAGGCACGAAAGCGUGGGGAUCAAACA
rnacentral:rRNA from 1 species